CUCCACAAAUGGAAUAAACAGUCCUGAUGCAAUUUAACCCAUUAAGUAUCAACACACCAUUUUGAGGGAGGGGUCCUAUUUUUGGGAGAGGGGCUCAACAACAAAGACAAAAAAAAAGAGAUAUAAAGAUAUAAAGGUCAUUAAAUAUAUCUGUGGUCCGUUAUCAAAUCCCUUCCAUCCGUAAAACAGCACUGCAUAGAACACAGGUGUCAGAAUCCAGUCCUCCGGGGCCGCAGUGCCUGCUGGUCUUUGGAGUGUUUCAGCACCCGUGAUCACCGAUUGGCUAAAGAAUCCGCCCACCAAGCUUGUUCUCACAGCCUCCAAAUGGCUGCCGAUGCAAGGGACACCACAGAAACCAGCAGACGCUGCGGCAGGAACAGACGGUGUGUGAACUGAGGGGUGGAGAUUUGGGAGGGGUGGGGGCGGGGGGGUUCCACAAAGGGAAAGUGUGUGUGUGUGGGGGGGGGGGGGGGAGUGAAA